GAUGAACGCUGGCGGCGUGCCUAAUACAUGCAAGUCGAGCGAACGGACGAGAAGCUUGCUCCUCUGAUGUUAGCGGCGGACGGGUGAGUAACACGUGGAUAACCUACCUAUAAGACUGGGAUAACUUCGGGAAACCGGAGCUAAUACCGGAUAAUAUUUUGAACCGCAUGGUUCAAUAGUGAAAGACGGUCUUGCUGUCACUUAUAGAUGGAUCCGCGCUGCAUUAGCUAGUUGGUAAGGUAACGGCUUACCAAGGCAACGAUGCGUAGCCGACCUGAGAGGGUGAUCGGCCACACUGGAACUGAGACACGGUCCAGACUCCUACGGGAGGCAGCAGUAGGGAAUCUUCCGCAAUGGGCGAAAGCCUGACGGAGCAACGCCGCGUGAGUGAUGAAGGUCUUCGGAUCGUAAAACUCUGUUAUUAGGGAAGAACAUAUGUGUAAGUAACUGUGCACGUCUUGACGGUACCUAAUCAGAAAGCCACGGCUAACUACGUG
rnacentral:rRNA from 1 species